CCUGAAAGAAAGUUGAGGAAGCUUGCAGCCCAGCAGCGGGCUGACUGCCGUGAAAGAUAGCGGACGGAGCUAGCUUUAGCAGACGCGACUAGGCUGCCCACUUCGGCUGGUGGCGUCACAGAGGCUCGAGUGGCUUUAGUCAGCUGUCUGACCGAAGCACGUUCAAAUCAAAAUGAAAACGAGAGUCGUCGGUGUCCACAAGAGACUCAAGCCGAGCCCCCUGAAAAGUAAUCACAGCCAUCCGUCCCGGAAAAUGCACCGACGGCUGCAGCGCACAAACAUCUCUGCAGGCCGCCCACUGCCAGCCAUCCAGCGGAAAUUGGCAAAGCGUGAGGAUUCCUCUACUUUACACCUGCAACCCCACCACCCCAUUAAACACUUCCACACACUUCUUAUCACUUCUCAGCUUGGGGCAUAAUUGACUUGAGGCUGUCGCGUACGUGCCCGAAACUUCAAUCCGUAGAUAUUAUCCCCUGUGGCCCCAGCCCGGCAUAACAGCUCAUCAAUAUACAAAGUGAGGAAAUGGUUUCUUAUCUUCACUCCUCACCAUCCAGCCAGACACACGCCGUUAUGAAUGUUUUUUCUGCUUUAUUCAUGUCUAUGUACAUACAGUAUCUCUGUGUGCGCCCAUCUUAUAUCGCUAGAAAACUCUGCAGACGUACACUCUCGACUCUUUUUUUUUUUUUAAAAUGAAAUCUCUUUCAAACGAGCUGCGCAGCAGUUUUGUGUGUUAAGACCUAAUUUUUUAACUUUCUAUUUUUAAACCUUUUUCAAUGUUUGGUUACAGUACAUAAUUAUUCAUUUGCUUAACAUUGUGUUAAGUCGCAUUUCAAAGUUAUUGAAAAAUUGAUAUGAGCACAUGGGGAUCCGUCUCUGUUUUUGUGCCAUGCACACAUCACUCUACAAGGUGCAAUGUUUACAGGUUGGACGUCAGCUCAUUAGUGUGCGCCAGCUUUGUCUUUGCAGAGGUUGAAAUCCCCGCUGUCAGUUACUCAUCAGGUCAAAGGGCCGUGACCACCAGCGUCGAAAGUGCAUUGUUAAGUUCUGAUUGAUUAAUGGCGUGUCAUCGCAGCGGCACCUGUUCCCCAGAGAAAUCACACCGCAGUAUUUAUUUUUUCACAGAUUAUUCUCCCUUUUCUGACUCCACGAAGGCUUGUGAUGGAAGUCUCGCUUUGCUUUAAUGUGAGGAAGGGGAGGAAUGGAGAAGUGAGGCUGUUUCAGUUAUUUUUGUGACGCACAAUACAAGCUCAUGAAGUCUGGGACUGGAUUUACGAUAUCAUUAAAAUGCAGGGGAGCCCCCCACCUCCGGAAAACCCAAUCGCUUCCAUAGUGCUGGUUGGGCUUUGAUUUUAUCGGAUACCAAAACAAAAUAUUCCAAUUUAGGCGACUUUUAUUUGGAAUAGUUAAUUCCGGUAGCACAGUGGUUUAGGCUUCUCUCAGGUGAGAGUUUUCAGGUUUGAAUCUUGGCUCAGGCCAUCUUGUGGCAACUUUGAAGGUUUUCCCCACUUUCUUCCUUCCACAUUAAAAAAAGAAACGUUAACUUAAGACUCGAACUUGGCCACAGGUGCUAAACAUAACUUAUCAGAAGCGACAAACAAGUUGGUUUAGAAAAAAGAUGCGAAUAUGAACAUGUUUGGAAUUCAAGACAAUAAGUUCCACAAGUGCCGUCAUUCAAACUAAGUGAUUCUUGUAAUCGUCUUCUUUUCCUUUCGGCUUGUCCCGAUUAGGGGUUGCCACAAUAUGUCAUCUUUUUCCAUCUAAGCCUACCUCGUGCAUCUUCCUCUCUAACCCCAACCAAGCGCCCUCAUGUCGUCCCUCACCACAUCCAUCAACCUUUUCUUUGGUCUUCCUCACGCUCUAUUGCCUGGCAGCUCCAUCGUCAGCACCCUUCUACCAAUAUACUCACUCUCUCGCCUCUGAACAUGUCCAAACCAUCGAAGUCUGCUCUCUCGAACCUUGUCUGCAAAACAUCCAAUUGAUUCUUGUAAUCGUUCCCCAUCAUUCGCAAUCAGUUAAUAUUGUUCCAUCCACACCAGCUCAGAAGGAAUACGGAAGGAAUAUUGAAGGUGUCCAUUAGUUAGGGAUAGCUGUGUAUCCGUGGCAAUCAUAUUAAACAUAAUGAACAGUGAGCACCAAGCACAACACCGACA